CCCUGUCAACUCCUUGAACAUAAUUUAAGCUUAGAACUUAAUUUUGAAACUUAAUUCUCACUGUUCUGAACUUUAAUAAGUUUGUAAGGCACAAGCCAUGAGAGCGUAAGCGUUUUCAGAAAAUAAAAUUUAGUAAUUAUUUAAAGAUAAACUAAGGUUCUUACAAGGAGUUUUAAAUCGAAGUGCCAGCAAUUGCGGUUAUACUUCAGUCUUCAGCUUAUUUUUUUAGGUUGAAACAUAUGCUAAAAAACGUUAGUAAAAGUGAAAUUAAAUGAUACUUCAUUCAUUUUAGCACAAUAUAAGAAAUUGAUGUGAAAAACUAAGAUUAGAUACCUUAUUAUUUAUCAAUUUAUUUUCUAACCGAAGUAUUAAAAACGUUCACGUUUAAAAUUUAAAGAACUUGGCUAUUUUCAGUAAUAUUGGGGGAUUUUGCUUUUGUAAACAAUAGCCCGUGCUAAAUUUUUCCUUUAAAUUUCUUAUAUAUCGCCGUUUAUCAAUAACUAUAAAAAUAUAUAGAAGAACGCCUAAAAGGCAGUAACUCAGGUCAAGAUAUAGUGUUAAAGGUUUAAAGUAAAAUACAAUUAUAUGAAUUUAAGGAGAAACCUUAAAAUAAAUAGAACUCAAAAGUAAUUUUAAGUUUAAAAUAUUAAAAUGAAACAUUACCCUGAAAAAGUACAUAUCGCCCGUCACUCUUUAAACUAAAGAUAAGUCGUAACAUAGUAAGGGUACCUGAAGGUGUCC
rnacentral:rRNA from 1 species